rnacentral:rRNA from 1 species
AUUGAACGCUGGCGGCAGGCCUAACACAUGCAAGUCGAGCGAGCGGCGGACGGUUGAGUAAUGUCUGGGAAACUGCCUGAUGGAGGGGGAUAACUACUGGAAACGGUAGCUAAUCCCGCAUACCAUCAGAUGUGCCCAGGUUGGAUUAGCUGGUAGGUGGGGUAACGGCUCACCUAGGCGACGCUCCCUAGCUGGUCUGAGAUGAUGACCAGCAACACUGGAACUGAGACACGGCCCAGACUCCUACGGGAGGCAGCAGUGGGGAAUAUUGCACAAUGGGCGCAAGCCUGAUGCAUCCAUGCCGCGUGUGUGAAGAAGGCCUUCGGGUUGUAAAGCACUUUCAGCGGGGAGGCGUUACCCGCAGAAGAAGCACCGGCUAACUCCGUGCCAGCAGCCGCGGUAAUAC